CCCUUCGGGGAGCCUAUACAGGUGUUGCAUGGCUGUCGUCAGCUCGUGUCGUGAGAUGUUCGGUUAAGUCCGCUAACGAGCGCAACCCUCGUCGUAUGUUAUAUGUGUCAUACGAGACUGCCGGUAAAAAGCCGGAGGAAGGUGAGGAUGAUGUCAAGUCAGCAUGACCUUUAUAUCCAGGGCUACACACACGCUACAAUGGUCUGUACAAUGGGUAGCCAAGCCGCGAGGCGGAGCCAAUCCUGAAAGCAGGCCUCAGUUCAGAUUGCAGUCUGCAACUCGACUGCAUGAAGCCGGAGUUGCUAGUAACCGCAGGUCAGCCAUACUGCGUUGAAUACGUUCCCGGGGCUU
rnacentral:rRNA from 1 species